UACGGAGGGUGCGAGCGUUACCCGGAUUUACUGGGUGUAAAGGGCGUGUAGGCGGUCUCUCAAGUCCGAUGCUAAAGACCGAAGCUCAACUUCGGGGGUGCGUUGGAUACUGUGAGGCUAGACGGUCGGAGAGGGUAGCGGAAUUUCCGGAGUAGCGGUGAAAUGCGCAGAUACCGGAAGGAACGCCAAUAGCGAAGGCAGCUACCUGGACGAUUUGUGACGCUGAGGCGCGAAAGCAUGGGUAGCGAACGGG
rnacentral:rRNA from 1 species